CGGCGUCAAAUGCGAAAACGAGGAAAAAUUUAAAAACAAGAAACAAUUAGUUAAAUUAAUAUGGAUCGCUUUUUAAAUCUGUGUAAACGUCGAGUAAAUGUCUUCAUCAAGUGCCGACAAGCCGGACUGUGAGUGCUCCUCCAGCACAGACUCUGAAAAAGAUUUGGAACCAAAUCGACAGAGUAACAAAAAGAAGUCGAAAAUUUCACGUGUUUGGAAAUAUUUUAAAAGGUCUGACGACAAGAAAUAUGCCAAAUGUCUCGAUUGUGGCGAAGAAUACAAGACAAGCGGCAAUACAUCUAACUUGCACGACCAUUUAAAAAGGUUCCAUCCUGGCGUGGAAAGAAAGAGCCCAGAAUCGAGCACACAAGUUGUACGUGCUGAGAGGAACGUCACUACAUCUACAAGCAGCAGUUGCAGAUCGAGCAUGAACUCUGUGGCGUCAUACUUUAAAAGAGCCGUCAUGUAUGAUUCAAAUUCUAAAAGAAAGACUGACAUAGAUAAAGCUCUAACUGAAAUGGUUGCCAAAGAUGUGCAGCCCUACAAUAUUGUAGAAAACGAAGGGUUCGUGCAAUACACUCAUGUAUUGGAUCCUUGGUAUAAAUUACCCAGCAAGACGCACUUAAGAGAUGUGCUGAUGUAUAAUUAUUUUACCGAAACUUCUGCCAAGUUAUCAGCAAUCCUUGUAAAUGUUUCGAAUAUCGCAGUUACGUGUGAUUUGUGGACAUCAAGUGCCAAUGCUAGUUUUUUGACUGUGACGGGUCAUUUCGUAUAUAACUACGAAUUAAAAACAGCAUCCUUAGCAACAAAAAAAACUUCUAAGCACAACUAAUCAUUGUUCACAAAACAUUGCUGAUACAUUGCGGGACAUUUUUAUUGAAUGGAACAUUCUGGAAAAAACUGUAUGUAUUGUUACCGACAAUGCCAGCUCCAUGCUUAAAGCAUGUGAUCUAUUGCAUAUUCGCAAUCUGCCAUGCUUUGCGCAUACUAUAAGUCUCGUGGUGCAAGAUGCCCUAAAAGUUGAUGACCCAGUGCUUCAAGCUUUAUUUACUAAGUGUAAAUCAAUCGUUCGAUUUUUCAAGCAAAACACUAUAUCAAAUGAAAAGCUCAAAUUAGCUCAAGAAGGCUCAGAAUAUACUUUGUUGCAAGAAACGCCCACUAGGUGGAAUAGUUUUAUUUUAUGAUUGAGCGUAUUAUAAAAAUGAACGAUGCCAUUGCCAAAGUUUUACAAUCAACAACGAAUGCACCGCAGCCAUUUACUGCUGAGGAAAUACUUAUGCUGAAAGAUAUUGAAAAACUUUAAACAAAAUAUUGAUGGAAUCAAUCAAGCAACGUCUUUCCGUAUAUGAGCAGAGAACAGUCUGCAGGAUGGCUACGCUUUUGGAUCCACGGUUCAAAAAAAGUGGAUUUCAACAUAGCUCAAACGCUGAACAAGCAGCAACAUGUUUUGAAAAUGAGCUGGCCAAUUUUCCAGUUAAAGAGACCGCAAGUAAUCAACCCGUAGCACCGGAUUCAAGUUUACUGGAUACUUUGUUCGAUUUUUUGGGUGAGCGUUCCAUGAAUAAAUUUGUAAACUCAAGAGUCGAUGCAAUUUUAACUAAGAAACAGUAUCUGGAAAGGGCAAUUGUCGGACAAGAUAUCGACCCUCUAUUAUGGAUGAAGGUAUGCCUUAAUUAAAAGUGCCGAGUUAUUAAUUGCAUAUAAUUAAGUAUAUUACUGUUUUCCAGGUGAAUCAAACUGAUUUCCCUGCCAUUGGGAGCCUUUUCGCCAAAUAUCUUUGCAUUCCGGCUACGUCCGUGGAGUCUGAAAGAACAUUCAGCAAGGCGGGCCAAAUAAUAUCGGAGAGGCGAACCCGGCUCAAAGAAAAAAAUGUUAACAUUCUUUUGUUUUUAAAUCGCAACUCUUGGCUGAAAUAAAGCAUAUUUUAUUGUA